AUAAGAGUGUCUGCUAAAUGACUAAAAUGUAAAUGUAUAAAUGCAUUAAAAUACUCCCAAACUUUAGGAUGAGAGGCUGGAUUUAUAUCAGAAAUAAACGUGACCUUUUUCCAAAACACAUUUUGGUAGCAGUAGUGAAGUACGGAGGAAUUUUACUUAGAAAUCAUUUUGAUUUAUAAAUAACGUUGAAAUAAAAUAAUAAUACAAUAAUUUCUUUAUGAAAAUUCUGUACAAAUCUGUUAUGGAGUGUACACUUCAAAUGUAGCUGCACAAAAAAACUAUUUUGUGUUCAAUUAUUUAAUGGCUUGUUCUUAUUAAAUCAUGUAUUGGUCAGAAAGAAGGUUACAGCAGUUAAGGGUUUAUUUGUUUGAACUGUGAGAGAUUCUAAACACAUUGACCCAGCGUCGUCUAGGAAGGUGACGGGCUACAAAUCACAUAGAAUGAUAGCAGUGAGAAACUCUUCUUUCUCUCUCUCUCUCUCCAUUACAAACACUAUGCAUGCAUCCCUAAUGGUACCCUAAUCCCUAUUUAGUGCCCAUAGGGUCCUGGUCAAAAGUAGUGCAUUACAAAAGGGAAUAGGGUGUCAUUUGGGAUACAUUCCGAACAUAUCCCAAGGGAGGCCCCAUUCUGGCUUCGUUCAGCGCAGCUAUUGUAAAGUGAUGGUCUCUCCCAGGUUAACAGUACAGGGACUGGGUGAAUGAGUGAGAGUCUCUCCCAGGUUAACAGUACAGGGACUGGGUGAAUGAGUGAGAGUCUCUCCCAGGUUAACAGUACAGGGACUGGGUGAAUGAGUGAGAGUCUCUCCCAGGUUAACAGUACAGGGACUGGGUGAAUGAGUGAGAGUCUCUCCCAGGUUAACAGUACAGGGGCAGGUUAACAGUGCAGGAACAGCAUUACAUUUCACCCAGGCUUUCAACAACAUUAUAUUUCACCCAGGCUUUCAACAGCAUUAUAUUUCACCCAGGCUUUCAACAAUAUUAUAUUUCACCCAGGCUUUCAACAACAUUAUAUUUCACCCAGGCUUUCAACAGCAUUACAUUUCACCCAGGCUUUCAACAACAUUAUAUUUCACCCAGGCUUUCAACAACAUUAUAUUUCACCCAGGCUUUCAACAACAUUAUAUUUCACCCAGGCUUUCAGCAGCAUUAUAUUUCACCCAGGCUUUCAACAACAACAUAUUUCACCCAGGUUUUCAACAGCAUUAUAUUUCGUCCUGAUUCAUACAAUUUCACGCUAUAGCUCAACUGUUGUUUUAGCAGAGUUCUUUUAAAAGUUAUUUCAAUAAAAAAAAAAAUGUUAAAAAAUGUGUUGGCCAAUAGGGGGCGAUAGCAUCGUAUAUAACACAAUGUAUUAUGGGUACAUGAUCACGAUAGUACAGCGGCUGAUGUCUCCCAACCCUACUAGUAUCAGUACUACAAUACCCCAUGUCAGGAGAUGAGCCGCAGGUCUGCAGUGUUUCUGUAAACAGGCUGAGUCUUCACCCUGGCAAUAUGACUGGGAGCUUGAGGUAAAUAAGCCCCCCCCCACACACACACACACUGUACAACCCCCCUCCCACACACACACAAACACACACACACACACUGUACAACCC
rnacentral:lncRNA from 1 species